GGGCUCAUACCUGGGUCCUCUGGAAGACUGUUUGGAUGCUGGGACUGACCAGGAAGAUCUUGGACCAGGAAGAAGAUCAGUGUGGGACAUAGCUUGGCUUUCCUAAACCCUACGAUAAAUACCCAUGCUGGAAUUAGUUACCCCCCCCCAAUAAAUUCCUUUGUUCAUUAAA